GAAAUAACAAUGGAGAAAGCCAGUGCGUCUAUCCUGAGUUUAUCUAGAUUGCUUUCACAAGUUGAGGCAACCGGCGCUGCACUUCUCAUGUAAUGAAAUACAGAUAUCAUGAGUGACGAACUUAUAUCAUUCCUGCGUUCUCGCAAAGUGCCGGAGUUUGUCCUGGAGCGAUUGAGAAAAGACAAGGUUGAUGCUGAAACUAUCCUGGGAAUUGACGACCCAACACUGGCUAAAUACAUUGAAAAGUCAGGUGACAGAGUUGCACUGAGGAAUUUCUGUGCUUCAUCUCAGCAGUCUUUAAAGAAGAAAAACACCAGGCCUACACAGCUUUUUGAAGUCUUAAAGAGGAGGAGGCUAUGUGGGUCCAGUGGUUAAAGAAAAGGGCUUGUAACCAGGAGGUCCCCAGUUCAAACCCCACCUCAACCACUGACUCAUUGUGUGACCCUGAGCAAGUCACUUAACCUCCUUGUGCUCCGUCUUUCGGGUGAGACGUAGUUGUAAGUGACUCUGCAGCUGAUGCGUAGUUCACACACCCUAGUCUCUGUAAGUUGCCUUAGAUAAAGGUGUCUGCUAAAUAAACAAAUAAUAAUAAUAAAGAGUAAACUAGCCAGAACUGACAAUGCUUCAGAAAACUAACCAUCUACCAGUACGGAUGAACAAUUUGAAUACAAAGGUAUGGGUAAAGCAGAGUGAAAACCUACUCGACGAGUUGAAUUCAGAUGGAUCCACAACAAAAAAACAAGUCAGAAAACGUCAGGGAGGUAGGACCUGUAAGAUUGAUGUAUUACGGUAUGCUAAAAAAAUGAAUUACUUGCAGUCGGAAAAGACAUAUUUUUUCCAAAUGGACAGUCUACAAAGGGUCAUAUGACAACCAGGGGACAGAAUUUCAAAACACUGGGGCAUCCACUGGUAGGGGAAACCCAGUGGCUUCAACAUCAGCACACAGCGAUGACAGUGUUGUUUGUACCACUGAAAGUACGCUCACCUCAACACCUUCACGGAGUGAUGAGGGCGCUGCAUGCAGAGUUUCAACUGAGCAUCAUCAACCCUCAGUGUCAACACAGAGUGAUGUCCUUAGCAGUGCUAUUAAAGCAGUCGGUAAUUUCAGCGAUGACGUUUUUUUACUGGAUGACCUAAGUGAUUCUGAAAUCAGUUAAAUCUGGGGAUGACUUCUAACAGCACAGUGACUUGGAUGAUACCAUUCCUGUCACACCAUUUGAAAUGACCAUUCAUUGUGGCCCAAUGGCUUUCACUGAGAUUUGUAGUAACUUCAAGGAUCCCACCAUCUUAAACAAACAUAAACAUUGUGCACAUUUUGCCAAAUGGUUACAUUGAAAAAGCACAUGAUUUGGGGGGUGUAUUAAAAGAUACACUGACUGAAUUCUCGGAGGAUUUCUAUAGCAAAUUGGGAGAGACAUAAAGGUUCCAUGUCUCCGUCAUAACAUAGGCCGAGAAGAAUGGAAAGCCAUAGGUAGAGUGCUUGUUUUUAGCUGGAAAGCCAUGGGGUACUGGCCAAUAAAGUUAUCAAAAACAUUUAUUCAUCACUGCCUCUUCCCAGAACUUGCGAUUUCCAAUGAGCAGCUACUUCAUGACUUCUAUGCUUUCAUUGCCGUUCAGGAUAAAGACAUCUUUCAAAGCGCACUUGUAGACUUUUCCAGUGUCGACUAUGAAGAUAUGAUUGAAGCGCUGGGCACACACGACUGCCGGACUAAGGUCAAGGAGAGUAAUAUUCUAGCAGUACUGCUAGAAAUCGCAGACAAGGAAAUGGUCCAAACAUCAACGUUUGUUUCCGAUUUGCUGGAAGAUCAUUCUGUAAGAACUCUGUAUUGCAAAUGAGAGGCUGGAUGGCAUUUACAGUAAGCUAAUUCCAUCUAACAAAGGAGUUCUCCGUAGGUUACUGUUGCCUGACUCUGUCAUGAGCAUGGGAACGAGGUGUGCGAAAAGUUAUGUGAAAGAGUAACCGAAAGUUAUGCCUCUUCCUUCGCAACUGCUGCACUGGCUCCAAUUUACUGAACGUUGACAAAAUCGCAGUAGAGUUGGUACCAAUGACGGACUUUGAACAAAGUGCACACACCUGUGGAAUUCAGAAGUGAAUUUGACAAAGUAUUAGAGAGCAAUAUUGGACCUGAUAGGAAUUGGACCUGAUAGGAAUAAUUGCAAUGUCGGACCAGGUCCGACAUAGGACCGCAAAGGGUUAAAAGUCCUACAUAGAUUAACCCUCUGUGGUCCUAUGUUGAACCUGGUCUGACAUUGCAAUUUUCCCUUUCCGGUCCAAUGUCAGACCCUGUCCGACAUCAUUAAAAAGACGUAAAAAAACAGGUAUCUCGUCGUUUUUUCUUUUACUUUAAUUUUUUUUUACUUUAUUUUUUGGGGGGGGGUCUCUUCUGCUCUAAUAUCUCAGGGGCAAAUAUACUUAAAUCAUUUAUAAAUAAAUAACACAUUAACCCUUUACCUGGUCCGACAUUGCAAUUUUCUUUUUCCGGUCCAAUGUCGGACAUCAUCAAAAAGACAUAAAAAACAGGUCUCUAGUCGUUUUUUCUCUGGAAAAAGCCGAGAAAACCAUUCAAUGACCGAGUGAGACUGAUAGGAGCCGAGAGAAGCUGAAAAAAAAGGGUCAUAUCUCAUGAAUACAGAUAGCCCUGGCGCCACAUAGAUAACACAGAAAUAAACAAACAAGAUAGCUGCUUCUGCAUCCAGCGCUCAAAGAAUAUCACAGACAUUUGCAGAGCUUAUAGAUGUUAUAUUAAUAAAAUAAUAACUUAGAUCACAUUAUUGAGGAGUUUGGUGAUAAAACGAGUGAUCAGGAGAUGAUUUAUCGGUAUGUACUAUUAUUAAGACGUAUGUGAAAAAUACAGCGAACAAGGGGUGGGGUGGGGCUGGAGAUGCAGUACUGAGUGUCCUGUUGAUAUGCAGUGCCUUUUAAACCUGUUUUACUGUGAAAAAAAAUAAGAACAUAAGAACAUAAGAAAGUUUACAAACGAGAGGUGGCCAUUCAGCCCAUCUUGCUCGUUUGGUUGUUAGUAGCUUAUUGAUCCCAGUAUCUCAUCAAGCAGCUUCUUGAAGGAUCCCAGGGUGUCAGCUUCAACAACAUUACUGGGGAGCUUCAACAACAUUAAACAGCGCAUGGGAAAAUAGAUUGGACCUGAAGCACCUAAAAUGGACCGCAAAGGGUUAAAAGUCUAAAAGUUUUUUAUUUUUUAUUUUUUAUUGGCACUAGAACGCUUCCGUAGUAUUGCACAUCAAAUCGGUUGGUGUGUUACAAUGCCUCUAACUAAACAACUGUUAUAGGUAGAAACACAUCCAAU